rnacentral:rRNA from 1 species
ACUCCUACGGGAGGCAGCAGUGGGGAAUAUUGCACAAUGGGGGAAACCCUGAUGCAGCCAUGCCGCGUGUGUGAAGAAGGCCUUCGGGUUGUAAAGCACUUUCAGCGAGGAGGAAAGGUUGGUAGCUAAUAACUGCCAGCUGUGACGUUACUCGCAGAAGAAGCACCGGCUAACUCCGUGCCAGCAGCCGCGGUAAU